UGAGUAAUGAUGAUCCUGAAGGUAUUGGCGCGGCUCAAUCGGAAGACAUGGCUAAUAAUAUUGAUACCAGAUGAUGGAUGACCGAAUGAGUAAAUAUUGAUAAGAUUGAUGAUGAUUAAUUAGCCAUGUGAUUUUGAUUGAGCCGCGUCAAUAUCCUCCUCUUCUACUCA
rnacentral:pre_miRNA from 1 species